AGCAGCCGCGGUAAUUCCAGCUCCAAUAGCGUGUAUUAAAGUUGUUGCAGUUAAAAAGCUCGUAGUUGAAUUUCGGGAUUGACGCAUCGGUCGUGCCUUAAGGGGUAUGAACUGGUGUAGUCAAUUUCUCACCUUCUGGAGAACCGCGAUGCCCUUAAUUGGGUGUCACGGGGAACCAGGACCUUUACUUUGAAAAAAUUUAGAGUGUUUAAAGCAGGCAUUUUGCUUGAAUACAUUAGCAUGGAAUAAUAAAAUAGGACGGCAUGAUUCUAUUUUGUUGGUUUCUAGGAUCACCGUAAUGAUUAAUAGGGAUAGUUGGGGGGCAUUAGUAUUCAAUUGUCAGAGGUGAAAUUCUUGGAUUUAUUGAAGACUAACUACUGCGAAAGCAUUUGCCAAGGAUGUUUUCAUUAAUCAAGAGCGAAAGUUAGGGGAUCGAAGACGAUCAGAUACCGUCGUAGUCUUAACCAUAAACUAUGCCGACUAGGAAUCAGACGAUGUUAAUUUUUUAAUGACUCGUUUG
rnacentral:rRNA from 1 species